rnacentral:lncRNA from 1 species
UGCCUUCUUUAUGAAUUCGAUCCGACUUGUCACUCUUUACGUAUUUUUAUUUUUUAUUGAAGUCGGAUUAAAUUUGAUAAUCACGAUAUCUUAACGACAAUAUCGCGAGCUUAUCAGUGUUGAAGGGGAAGAAGUAUGGAAGACAUUAUCUUUUGGCAGAGAGUUCAAUGCGAGAUGAAAUUUAGGAGCCAUUGGGAGCUCAGAGCGAGGUAGAGCUCCAGGUAGAUGGAUUGAGCACGAGACGGAAGACUCGAGAGGAUAACAGAUCACAUCACAGGAUGAAGUUUCUAUUACCAUAGAAGGCUAUCCCGAGC